rnacentral:rRNA from 1 species
AGUGAACGCUGGCGGUAGGCCUAACACAUGCAAGUCGAACGGCAGCACAGGAGAGCUUGCUCUCUGGGUGACGAGUGGCGGACGGGUGAGGAAUACAUCGGAAUCUACCUUUUCGUGGGGGAUAACGUAGGGAAACUUACGCUAAUACCGCAUACGACCUACGGGUGAAAGUGGGGGACCGCAAGGCCUCACGCGAUUAGAUGAGCCGAUGUCCGAUUAGCUAGUUGGCGGGGUAAUGGCCCACCAAGGCGACGAUCGGUAGCUGGUCUGAGAGGAUGAUCAGCCACACUGGAACUGAGACACGGUCCAGACUCCUACGGGAGGCAGCAGUGGGGAAUAUUGGACAAUGGGCGCAAGCCUGAUCCAGCCAUACCGCGUGGGUGAAGAAGGCCUUCGGGUUGUAAAGCCCUUUUGUUGGGAAAGAAAUCCUGUCGAUUAAUACUCGGUGGGGAUGACGGUACCCAAAGAAUAAGCACCGGCUAACUUCGUGCCAGCAGCCGCCGUAAAAC